UUAAAUUGAAGAGUUUGAUCAUGGCUCAGAUUGAACGCUGGCGGCAGGCCUAACACAUGCAAGUCGAACGGUAACAGGAAACAGCUUGCUGUUUCGCUGACGAGUGGCGGACGGGUGAGUAAUGUCUGGGAAACUGCCUGAUGGAGGGGGAUAACUACUGGAAACGGUAGCUAAUACCGCAUAACGUCGCAAGACCAAAGAGGGGGACCUUCGGGCCUCUUGCCAUCGGAUGUGCCCAGAUGGGAUUAGCUAGUAGGUGGGGUAACGGCUCACCUAGGCGACGAUCCCUAGCUGGUCUGAGAGGAUGACCAGCCACACUGGAACUGAGACACGGUCCAG
rnacentral:rRNA from 1 species